ACUUAGCUAGGCGGAGGUGGCCAUGGCAACUACAGACACCUCAGCAUCAUUGGGAGGCCAGUGGCUGGAGGAUCCCACCUCUCCUUCCAGGUCCCUGGUCAAGUGGAGCCCCACAUGACAGCAACAGUAGCCAAAGUGGUGGAUAAGGUGGGAAGCUAUGCCCAAAGGGAGGCAAGCCAACCCCAGCACGGCACAAGAUGUUUUCACACAUUGGAAACCCACACAUAAAUCCUGAAUCUCUAACAGCCACUAUGCAAAAGCAGAUAUUAAAUAAAGAAGCUGCUCAUCAAAUUGAGAAGAGAUUGCCACAGAUGUACAAAGAGCGGGAAAAAAAUCAAUUCAUUCUCCUUUCGAAGCAUUCCUCUUCCGGAUUGAAAAAAAAUCAUGAAAAUCAAAUCCAGAAUAUUGCAAUGCCUUGUCUACAAAAUUGACAUAUUUGAAAGAUACAGAUGUAGCAAAUUGCUUUUUCCUGAUGCAAGGUGAAAGUCUGGGGCUUGGAUUAAGGAAAUUUCAGCAAGAGUUGUGUCAGCACCAUUCGCAGGAUUACUUUUUGGAAGCUCAGGAGCCAUUUCCAAGUGAUACUAGCCACCAUAGCAUUUACCAAACUUCAUUUGUCCAGUAUCCACAUACUGAACGGUCCCCUUGGGGGCGAUUUCCCAAAAGCCAUGUAGAUCGCUGUGUCUCUUUAAAGCGAACAGCUGAGAACGAGUGUUUAUGGUUUUCAAAAUGCUAUGCUACUCCUAAUAAUUUAGCUCCUUCCAAGUCCAAUAGAAACUUUCACUCCAAGUCCAAACAACUUUUACCUGCAGAAGAAGUGAUGGGUGUUAAAGAGGACUCUAAAGAAAAUUCCAGUUUGGAUGGGCCAUGAAUGUUUCAAGAUCAGCAAGAGCUAUCUUUUUUCUCUCAAUCUGAAAUGAUACUAAGAAUGUAUAUGGCAUUAAAACGACAGGAACUAGAUGAGUGGUUGUAUUUGA